rnacentral:misc_RNA from 1 species
UUAAGUUCAGCGGGUAGUCCUACCUGAUUUGAGGUCAAAAUGUCAAAAUUUGUCCAAGUUAAUAGACGGUUAGAAGCUGAGCCUCAUUAUAAAGCUUCACAACCAAUGGCGUAGAUAAUUAUCACACCAAUAGCUGCUCCACAAAGGUUCUGCUAAUGAAUUUAAGGAGAGCUGAUUUCUUGCGAAACCCGCAACCCCCA